rnacentral:rRNA from 1 species
AACGAACGCUGGCGGCAGGCUUAACACAUGCAAGUCGAGCGAGACCUUCGGGUCUAGCGGCGGACGGGUGAGUAACGCGUGGGAACGUGCCCUUCUCUACGGAAUAGCCCCGGGAAACUGAGAGUAAUACCGUAUACGCCCUUUGGGGGAAAGAUUUAUCGGAGAAGGAUCGGCCCGCGUUGGAUUAGGUAGUUGGUGGGGUAAUGGCCCACCAAGCCGACGAUCCAUAGCUGGUUGGAGAGGAUGAUCAGCCACACUGGGACUGAGACACGGCCCAGACUCCUACGGGAGGCAGCAGUAGGGAAUCUUAGACAAGGGGGGCAACCCUGAUCUAGCCAUGCCGCGUGAGUGAUGAAGGCCUUAGGGUUGUAAAGCUCUUUCAGCUGGGAAGAUAAUGACGGUACCAGCUGAAGAAGCCCCGGCUAACUCCGUG